rnacentral:rRNA from 1 species
UACGUAGGGUGCAAGCGUUAAUCGGAAUUACUGGGCGUAAAGCGUGCGCAGGCGGUUGUGCAAGACCGAUGUGAAAUCCCCGGGCUUAACCUGGGAAUGGCAUUGGUGACUGCACGGCUAGAGUGUGUCAGAGGGGGGUAGAAUUCCACGUGUAGCAGUGAAAUGCGUAGAGAUGUGGAGGAAUACCGAUGGCGAAGGCAGCCCCCUGGGAUAACACUGACGCUCAGGCACGAAAGCGUGGGGAGCAAACAGG